rnacentral:tRNA from 1 species
GCCUCCGUAGUAUAGUGGUUAGUAUAGAGGGCUGUGGACCCUUUGGCCGGGGUUCGAUUCCCCGCGGAGGCC